rnacentral:lncRNA from 1 species
CACACAAUGUGACAGUCGCGAUGGCUGGGAACGGGAGGCAGCUGCGCUUCGCGGAAACCCAUCUCGAAGUUCAAUUCGCAACGAAAAACUAACUUUUCUUGCGCAAGAUUGGCGGCGAAUCCCUGCGUGAAGAAGUUGUGCAUGAAUAACUUUGCCUGGCUGCGUUUAAAAGAGUUUGACUGUACAUUCUCCC